rnacentral:lncRNA from 1 species
AUUUAAUUAAAGUUUGAUUAGAAUUUAAAGUUGGAUUAGAAUUAAGGAUUUGAAUUAAGAUUUUUUAAAGAUUUGAUUAAGAUUUGAUUAGAAUUUAGGAUUUGAGUUAAGAUUUGCUUAAGGUUUAGGAUUUAGGAUUUACUUAGGAUUUGGUUAAGAUUUAAUUAGGAAUUAGGAUUAGAUUAGGAUUUAGAAUUUGAUUUAGGAUUUGUUUAGGAUUUAGGAUUUAAGAUUUGCUUAGGAUUUAGAAUUUGGCCUAGAAUUUGAUUGAAGUUGAUUAGGAUUUCAAUUAGGAUUAAGUUAGGACUUGAUUGAGAUUUAUAUAAAAUAUAUUUA